rnacentral:rRNA from 1 species
CCUACGGGUGGCAGCAGUGGGGAAUAUUGCACAAUGGGGGAAACCCUGAUGCAGCGACGCCGCGUGAGUGAAGAAGUAUUUCGGUACGUAAAGCUCUAUCAGCAGGGAAGAAAAUGACGGUACCUGACUAAGAAGCCACGGCCAACUAAGUGCCAGCAGCCGCGGUAAUACGUAGGGGGCAAGCGUUAUCCGGAUUUACUGGGGGUAAAGGGAGCGUAGACGGCAGCGCAAGUCUGGAGUGAAAUCCCAUGGCUUAACCAUGGAACUGCUUUGGAAACUGUGCAGCUAGAGUGCAGGAGAGGUAAGCGGAAUUCCUGGUGUAGCGGUGAAAUGCGUAGAUAUUAGGAGGAACACCAGUGGCGAAGGCGGCUUACUGGACUGUAACUGACGUUGAGGCUCGAAAGCGUGGGGAGCAAACAGGAUUAGAUACCCCAGUAGUC